AUCUAUGGCCAUACCACCCUGAACGCGCCCAAUCUCAUCUGAUCUAGGAAGAUAAGCAGGGUUGGGCCUGGUUAGUACUUGGAUGGGAGGCCGCCUGGGAAUACCGGGUGCUGUAGGCU
ensembl:rRNA n-R5s195 nuclear encoded rRNA 5S 195